GUUGGACUAUCAAUAAGAAAAAAUCAGAAAAAAAUGACAGCUAUGCAUUUGUCAAUAUCUACACCCUAAACUGCUUAGGUAUCAAAGAGUGGUAUCAAAGCUUAUUAAACUUAGCUCCUGCAGGGCCACAGACCUCCAGAUGCCUUCUCCAAAUACCCGCACUUGCAGUCUUUGCACUUGACCACUUGACUACUUAUAUGACAUGUUUCCUGUAUUUGGUCCAAGUGUUCAAGUGAGCAUGAAGACCACAAGUGUGUGUAGAACUUUUCAUUACCUGAUGGGACACACUUAUAGUGUUGUAAAAAUGCAAGUGUUUACAGAGUUUUAUUUUUAUUUUCAAUACUUUGCAUUUCAAAAUCAACUUCUAAAUGUCUGUUCAGUAGUCCCUAUAAUUAAGCACAUAUUAAUUCCUUAUUCUACAUGACCUACUACAUCCCUAAUCCUACCCAAUAUCUUAACUUAACAACUACCUUACUAACUAUUAAUAAGCAGCAAAUUAGGAAUUUAUUGAGGGAAAUGUCUUAGUUAAUAGUGAAUAAGUGUUCCCUAUUCUAAAGUGUUACCGAUGCUUCUAAUUAAGUGAUAAAAUGCCGUUUUCAAAUGUUUUACAAAAUAAUUAUCACCACUACUCAUUUGCACCAAUAAAAUGUGCAACUCUAUGUUUUACUUCCAAAUUAUAUGUAAUAUCUAAUUAUUAUUAAUAUUUAACAUACAUUGGAAAGGUUUCUGUGAUUUCUCACGAGAUCUCUGCAACAAAUCUCACGAUUUAUUUCCACAACAUGAUGCAUGAUGGGAUACACUAAGCCUUGAAUACCGCUCCAGAGCGGUAUUCGAGAUAGUGUGAAUUAAGUGUGCAUUUAGGAUUGCUAUUUAGUGUGUGCUUUGCGUUUUUAAGACCUGGAACAGUCUUGCACACUUAUCACACUUGCACACUUCCUGUCGCGCGCAUGCACUCUCAAGUGGCCAAGACCGCAGAUGUGGGUAUUUGGAUAAGGGGUGUGCUUUGCUCCAACCCUAAUUAAACACAGCUGACCCAGCUUAUCAAGGUCUUUAGGAGUGCUAGAAAUUUCCUACGAGGUGUGUUGGAGUUAAACUGUGCAGGUGAGUGGCUCUCCAGAGUUUUACAAAGAUUCUAAACAAAAGGCCUUUUUGACCAACAUUUUUUGAAAGAGAAAUAAUAGUUCUUUGGAACAAUUAAUGAUGGAAAGGAGUAAAUGGUAUUCUCACAGUUAAAUUUGUUGGCGUUGAUAGGUGCCCGUCAGCCUUUAUGCAAGACACUGCACAACCAAUCACACAAACCACCAAAAACAUCAGCUUGCUCUCCAUCUGUUGGUGUGUAUUUACCAGUAGAUAUGUUCACCUUC
ensembl:lncRNA